rnacentral:piRNA from 1 species
ACCCAGAGAAAUGAAGGUAGCUGC